CUGAAGUUUAAAGCUGCCUGGUCCUUGUUAAGGCAGAAAUCCAUCCCUGAUUCACAUACUCACCAGACUGCAUGCCGAAGCUCCAGACUGCUUCUGCGGCCUCUCCCUCUGUCAGGAUGGCAGGAUGAACACUACUGAUCACACGUUUCCUGGAUGUUCCAGUAGAUUCAUCACCUAUAGCAUAAUUUUUCUGUAGCACCUCUCUCUCUCUCUCUCUCUCUCUCUCUCUCUCUCUCUCUCUCUCUCUCUCUCUCUCUCUCUCUCUCGAUGUCCAUAUUGUAACUGUUAUUGUUCAUGUCAGAUUGUUCUAGCAAAGCAAAGAAAGACAUGACUUGUAAUGAAAUUUUAAAUGUAGAUUUUAGUGGGUUUGAUAAACAGUAGGUUUUUAAGACUUUUUUUAAACUUUUAAAAAAACAAUUAUACUGUGGAGUUUUGGGUUCUUCACACGGGACAAAGGAGCAACAGCAUCGGAAAUAUAUUUUGUUUCUUUGUCUUCUUUUAAAGAAUAUUAAUUAUUGUGAACAAGUUCAUCGCCUUCUUCUUCCUCUUAAUAACUAUUAGCAUUAUGAUGUCUUCUCUUUUAGAUUUUUCUUCACUUGAAUUCUUUUGUCGCAAAUGGAGUUGUUGUUUAUUAUUAUACGAAGGGCUGAAGGGUGCAGACAAACGGUGAAUCUGUAUUCUAGUUUUCGGUGUAUUUUCAGUUGUUAAGUUGUGUGUGAACUCACCAUUUUAGAUUGCCUGCUCUUUUACAUGCAGGUUUUAUGUAGUCUAGGUUGUAUUUUAUCCCUCCUGACCAGCAAGUGCAGUGAACAUCACCUGGUUAGAUUCUUGUGCAUGUGCACAGACACACUGAGACCUUCCAACAGUGAGGUAUGAUGUAGUGUUUGCUAUAAUUAUCAUCAUCGUACAGUCAUCUUUCAAUAUCUUCAUGUCUUGUCGACUUUGGACCACAACGUCUAGAGCUAUCUGAUUAACAGCUUGUGACUAUGUUCAGCGAUACAGGUCCCUUAGACCUGCGUGUAGACGCUGCAUGAACACAGAGUGCGGAAGCAAUUAUGAAUUUCUAGUGAGCUCAUAUGAUAUUGCUUUAUGUGUGGAAAAUAUGGGCAAUUUGUUUGCUAUUUUAUUUCUUGUACUGGAGAAAGCACUUCAAUUUACAGAUGUUUUGUCCCUCUGUUUGAGAGCUGGUUGAUGCCCCGCUCAUAACAGGGCAUCUGGGCUCGGAGUUCAGGUGGCUCUCCAGUAAUUUGGUUCAUGUACAAACACAGGUAUCGUUGACACAGUGCAUGUUGUUGGCCUUGUACAAAGCAACCCCGCAAAAUCUAAACCCCUAAACAGUUCCCCACACCACUAAAGAGUCACACAGAUUCUGCCCAUUAAGGGCAGGGGCUGUUGAUGGGAUGCUUUACAGCUGAAAGUAUUGCCACUGCAGCAACUGCAUUAGAUCAGUGGUCCUGAUGGCCUUUUUGCAGGAGAAGAAUCUCCAGUUUCACUGUAGUCCGUAGACUUUGUCAGGUCUCAUGGCCCUGACAGUGUCAGACCGCAACAGACCCAUCUAACCCAAGAUGUUCAUUCCCUUUUGGACAGAGGAGCAAUCACAAAAGUAGACCCUAUUGUCCAGGGCAAGUGGGUCUACUCAGUGCUCUGUCUUAUUCAGAAUAAAGACAGUGGUUUUGUCCACUUCUUGAUUUGACAGGGCUUUCAAAUGUUAUUCAUGAUGUACAUCCACAGGACAUCUUUUCACAUUCCCAUGGCCAACAGAACUUAAGCAACAAAAGGUGCAUUUGAGGUUUGCCUUCCAAGGACAGGCACUCCAGUUCAGAGUUAUCAUUCAGAACGUGGAAGAAGAUUCCAGGGAAUGAUGGCUGUAUUAUAACAGUCUUUGUGUCUCUGUUGGGAAGUCUCAGCAUUGUUGCACUAGGGCUUGCAUGACUACUAAUUUUUACUAAUCAACCAGUAACUAAAAAAAAGGAUUUGAGUGCUAGACUGUUUUUUCCAUAGUUUAAGCAAAAAACUGCCAAAAGUGGCCAAAAGUAUGUGGACACCUGACUGCCACACCCAUGUGUUUCCUCUCCAAACGGUUACCAUAAAGUCUGAAGCACACAAUUGUAUAGACUGUGUCUGUACGCUGUAGCAUUAUAGUUUCCCUUCACAGGACCUAAGAUUCCCAAACCUGUUCCAGCAUGACACAAAGUGUACAAAGCGAGCUCCAUGAAGACAUGGUGUGUUAAGGUUGGAAGAAGUUAGAAGAACUCGAGUGUCCUGCACAGAGUCCUGACCUCAACCACACUGAACCCCAUUGGGAUGAACUGGAACUGGAGCCUCCUCGACAUCCCAACAUCAGCGCCUGACCUCAACCUCACUAAUGCUCCUGUAGCUGAAUGAACACAAAUCCCCACAGUAACGCCCCAAAAUCUAGAGGAAAGUCUUCCCAGAAGAAAGUGUGGAGCUUAUUAUAAUAAUCACAUAUGGGUGUGAUGGUCAGGGGUGCACAUACUUCUGGCCAAAUAGUGUAUUUUUACUUGUGCAUUAAAGAAUGUGUCAAAUUGUAUUUCAAUUAACAAAUUGAAUUUCGAGAUUCAGUGCUUUUUUGGCUAUAUUGUUAAGGAUGAAAGUGAAUUAAUUGGUGCAAUAAAUAUGCAAAACCUGUGCAUAAUAUCAGACUAUUAAGGAUGCACAGUUCUGAAAAUACACUCGUGAAUGAGCUGGUGGUUCAGCUGAAUCUGUUGAUUCGUUAAAUCAUGGAAGCUCCUAGUAGCUUAAUGAUUGAUGGAGGAUGCGAUGUCUACAGCAGUAUCCACCAUGUUCACUAAGUGCAUCACAAAACAAGUUCGGAUCGGACUCUGGACUCUCGGUGCUGACGUAUCGCUGAACUUGCUCUAAAAAAGCUGAGUAGGAUCGGAUCGUGAAGAGCACCCCAUGGCUCUGAAAGUGCUCUUGCGUAAUACGUUCAAGCAAAAGACAAAAACACUUUUUGAAAAGCAUCGUCUUGUGCAUUGACCGUAGAAUUGGCUUCAUCUAGUCUGAAAUACUUUCAGACAAACAAAGACUACAAAACCUGCAUUCUUUACCAUUUGGCUCACUGUUUGUUCCGACAUCACGUCCUCAAUGUGCUAGUCAACUGGUCUGUACAACUCCUAGCAUACGCACAUGCACACUAAGGUGAUACCGACUGCCCCUGAUGGUUUGUGUUCAUAGACAUUAUAGUUCUAUACAGAAAUAGCACAUAAAUAAAUAAAUGAAGCCUCAAACCACUCACUAACGCUCUAAGCGAUUAGAAGAAUUAGAGCCUGUUGUCGAGAACAGAGUAACAUUACUGAUUAAAGUAAAUAAAUGGUGCUUCUAGUUACUUGUGUAUAAAACGUUUACCAUCUUUACCGUUAUAAUUUAUUUACUCAGAUUGGCUACUCAUUAUGCUGAUGUUAAAGACAUGAUUUAUUUUUGUGGUGUGGGUUGCUGUCCCUUAAAAUGAAUCUCCAACAUUUAACUCCAGCCCAGUUUAAACCAAUUUACUUUUAUAUAGGAUUUUGUAAAGACGCUUAAGUGUUAUGUCCUUUUCAGUGUUGUGUCUUUUCAUUGUGACACUCCUUCCUUUCUGACGGAAUUUUAAUAUAUCUAUUCCUCCUUAUUUAGCUCAUGCACUGAAUAAAACUCUACUUCAGUCCCAUUUUAUGUCUCAGUUUCAACAAUGCAUCAAAUGUUGGAUUUCAUUCCCUCUCUUUCGGUCUCAUUUCACUGAUUUAGAUCGUACCCCAUAUGUAUCUACGGCUGUACUGCAAAUGAAAGAGUAGACAUCUCUUAAAGGUUUGGCGGUGUGGCUUAUUGACGGCCUCCUUGAUAGACAUAGAGAGCCUGGAUGUAUAUACAUAAUAUUCAAUGCUGGUAAUGAAGCAACACAGCUGAAAGAAUGAGACUCAUUAAAGUACUCUAAAGCAUCACAGAUGUCUGUUAUUGAUUGGUUUCUGUUUGGCUACAGAACAGCCAUUAUUACAGUCAGAUAUAUUUCUUCAGACCAUAGACCCUUUUAUUUCUUUAUGGGUGUGUUUUAUUGAAGAUACACAGACAUACUUCAUGUCCUCUCCAUGACAUACAGUCUGCAUUAAGGUUUAUUGGAAUAUCUUUUUUUUUUGCCUUGUAAACGUAGGACCUUUAUUACUGUUGUUUCCGAUGAUUGCUUUGCAGUUAGAAUCCUGAACAUUUUGUAAUGUGUUUUGAUUGAUCUGUGAUGUUGUGUAGAAUGAUUUACAUAUUUUUAAAUAAAAGUAGUAG
ensembl:lncRNA